AUAUCAAUAAGCGGAGGAAAAGAAACCAACAGGGAUUGCCUCAGUAACGGCGAGUGAAGCGGCAAAAGCUCAAAUUUGAAAUCUGGCUCUUUUAGGGUCCGAGUUGUAAUUUGUAGAAGAUGUUUCGGAUGUGGCUCCGGUUUAAGUUCUUUGGAAUAUUACAUCAUAGAGGGUGAGAAUCCCGUAUGUGACCGGCAGCCUUCGUCCAUGUGAAACUCUUUCGACGAGUCGAGUUGUUUGGGAAUGCUGCUCAAAAUGGGAGGUAUAUUUCUUCUAAAGCUAAAUAUUGGCCAGAGACCGAUAGCGCACAAGUAGAGUGAUCGAAAGAUGAAAAGCACUUUGGAAAGAGAGUUAAACAGUACGUGAAAUUGUUGAAAGGGAAGCGCUUGCAACCAGACUUGCACGCAGUUGAUCAUCCGGUGUUCUCACCGGGGCACUCUGCUGCGUUCAGGCCAGCAUCGGUUUCGGUGGUUGGAUAAAGGCCUUGGGAAUGUGGCUUCCUUCGGGGAGUGUUAUAGCCCUCGGUGCAAUGCAGCCUACCGGGACCGAGGACCGCGCUUCGGCUAGGAUGCUGGCGUAAUGGUUGUAAGCGACCCGUCUUGAAACACGGACCAAGGAGUCUAACAUCUAUGCGAGUGUUUGGGUGUCAAACCCAUACGCGUAAUGAAAGUGAACGGAGGUGAGAACCCUUAAGGGUGCAUCAUCGACCGGUCCUGAUGUCUUCGGAUGGAUCUGAGUAAGAGCAUAGCUGUUGGGACCCGAAAGAUGGUGAACUAUGCGUGAAUAGGGUGAAGCCAGAGGAAACUCUGGUGGAGGCUCGCAGCGGUUCUGACGUGCAAAUCGAUCGUCAAAUUUGCGCAUAGGGGCGAAAGACUUAUCGAACCAUCUAGUAGCUGGUUCCUGC
rnacentral:rRNA from 1 species